GUCAGACAAAGGCAAACUUAUUGAAAAAUAGGGACGCAAAGUCACAGAUCUAAGGUAGGAAAAUGAGUACAUCGAAUACAGAC
rnacentral:misc_RNA from 1 species